rnacentral:lncRNA from 1 species
CAAUUUUUUUUUAAGAUUUUAUUUAUUUAUUCAUGGAAGGCAUAGGGAAUGAGAGAGAGAGAGAGAGAGAGAGAGAGAAAGAGAGGCAGAGACACAGGCAGAGGGAGAAGCAGGCUCCUUGCAAGAAGCCUGACAUGGGACUCGAUCCUCGGUCUACAGGAUCACAUCCUGGGCUGAAGGCUGUGCGAAAUCACUGAGCCACCCAGGCUACCUGCUAGUGCAAAUCUUGAGCAAUCCCAUGACUCUAAGAAAACUGUGAUGUUUUCAUUUUGGAAAGAGGUGAUUGUUCGAAAGCAAUAGCAUUUACGCAUUGUAUUUCAUCUCAGAAGUCAACAAAAUGUUACCAGUUACCUUUAUAAUAGAUAUUGUUUAUAUCAUCUCUUUCACACAAAAAUUUCAGUAAUAAUUGAAAAUCAAUUUGCAGUAGCAAAAUCUAUAUGUCAGAAACUGAAUUCAAUUCUAUAAGGCUCAAGUCAGGAUUAUCUAGAAACAUUUGUUCCAACCCUAAGGAUGAGUAAAUUUUUCUUAAAAGACUUGGAACAAACUGCAUCAAAAAUUAAAUGCAAUGCUCAAGAGCAUGUUUUCCUUUUAUUAGAGAAACCAGAAAAUGCAUUGUUCAAUAUGUCCUGCAUUAAUGUCAAACAUGCAGCAUUUUCUACAUUCUUCCUGUUCUGAAUUAAAAUAGCUCCCAGAUGAUUUAUUGUUUUAAGUCUAUUGAGUUAAGUGCCUAUUUUAGGUAAUUGGGUUUAUUUUUCUGUAGUAGAGGAGGCUGCAGGUGGAUUCUGAAAAACAUGGUUUAAUUUCUUGUUUUAUCUCUCUAGUGGUAUUCCUGAUCAAGCUAAUUUAGACCUCUGAACUGUGGUACCCUUUCAUAUGUGAUGGAUCUAGUAAGACCGGUUGUAUAUAAUACAUUUGAGGGCAGAAUAAGAGCACAUAUGUGAAAGUAUCCUGGAAACACAAGACUAUCAAAUAAAACUGCUGAAAGAGUCCAGUUAAACAAAUAUAAGUAGAUGGUUUUUUUGUUCACCAGAGCUUCAAAAUAAUUAUGAGUGUUUUACUUACUUUUUAAAUUCCCAUAUCAAAUACUGAAAAUCUUUUCUAGUUAAGCCUGGUAUAACAAUAAAGACACACUUUGUUUUCGUCCAUUAACCAGAAGUCCAUUGAGAUUACAGUAAAGAUACUAGAAAAACAUAAAUCAAAACCCACAAAAAACAGGAAAGGACACAACAACAAAAUUUUGGAGUUUAAAAUUUGGAUGGAUAAUGAGUACCUUGCAUAGAAAACCAAAGAAUGCUUAAAGCUGUCCUAAGCCAGCAUUUGGCAAGAACAGAAAUAAGACAUUUUAUAUUGCAGAAUACCUAGGAAAAUGUAGAAACUAGAUAAGAAGAUUGAUUUAUAGGGUAUCUGAAAAGUUAAGUCAAAACCACCUUAAAUAUAUUUGUAACAAAAUACAACUGAAGAAAGGGAAUAUUUAAAGUAUGUUUUAGAAAACUCUUUAAAAAACAAUAAGACAAAUAACCUAGUAUAAAAGUGAACCCAAGACAAGAAUUUUAAAGAAGAAACUCAAAUGGCCAGUAAUCAUCAAAAGGCAUUUCUGCUCAUUGAUAAUCAGGCAAAGACAAAUAAUAUUCACAACACAAUGUCAUCUGCAACCAUCAAAUUGGAAAAUAAUAGAUAAUUUGUUUUUGUUAUCACUGAUAAAUACUGUCAUUAAAUGUUUAUGACUAAGUGAAGCAACUUAUUUUUACACUCUAGUAGGAACAUAAACUGGUAAAUCACUAUAGAAAAUAGUCUGGUAUUUAUUAAAUUUGAAGAAGUCUAUAUCUGAUGUCUCAGUAAUUCUAUUAUCAUAUAUAUAUAUAUAUAUAUAUAUAUAUAUACACCCAUUUAAAAAGGGGAAAAACCUCUUGCACAUGAGAAUCAAAACAUAACAAUGUUUGUCCACCAAAUGCAUUUUUAUAAUAGCAAAACACUUAAGAAAAACAAAGACAUGUCCAUGAGAGAAAACAAAAAGAAUAGAAAAACAAAUUGUGCAUAUUACUGCAACAGAGGGUUGGUUACAACAAUGCAAAGGAAUCAACUAUAGCUAUAUGAACCAAUGUGGGUAGCUUAGAAAUGUCGUCAGGUACUCAAUUGUGAAGUUGAAAAAUUAAACUUUAACUUCCUAUUUCAUGUUGUGUUUUGGAUUCUGUUAAUUUUGCUAAACAGAAGUCCUCUUCAUGAUCCAUUUUCAUGGGAAUACCAUCUGCUGAACAUUGUUAAUCAUCAGAGAAUUUGCCCAGUGCUCUCUUGCAUGUCCUCAGGACACUUUCGUACCCUUAAAAGGUACUCAGAACUUAAGGAGCUACUUGUGUGCAGGUCACUUCUAUCAAUAAAUAUUAUAUUUGAAAUUAAACAAAUUAAAAAAUAUCUAUCAAUUUGGUUAAAAGUAACAAUCAACCAAUUAUAUGUUAACUUAAAUAUCAUCUUCUUAUAAAAAUAAGUUUUUCUAUCACAAGAUAAAUUACUGAAGAGUGUCACUGUUGUAACUGUUUUUUUGUAAAUCUCUUUAAUGUCUAUCUUAUGAAACAACAGCUAGAUUGUCCUAUCUGCUUCAGCAUUGUAGCUGUUGUGAUAUGUUGUCCUGAGUGAAGCAGAUGAAAUAAAUGUUUCCCCAAUUCUAAUUUUCUUUUGAAAGCUUGUAUUUUAUCACUGAUAACAAAUACUGUCAUUUGUUUUCUUUGAUGUAAUAGACUCACUUCAUUCAUUUUUGAGAAAAUGUCUGCCAAAAUCCAAGGCCUGAAUAACUACAUUGCAUAUGUCGGUUUUUCUUGCAAGUAAUAGCAGAGAUCCAUGAAAAAAGUGUUCAGGCCACAAUUAAAUCUCCCAAGUGUUUUGUCUUGAGAUAACCAUGUACUUUGGUAUACUACAGAGGGUUCUAUGCAUAUGUCCCAUCUUCACAAAGAAUAUUAAAAGGAUGUGUACUCAGGGAUGGAGAUUUAAUAAAGUAAUUUUGUUUUUGUUUCAUAAGUGACACUUUUAGGUAUAAAAGGGCAUCAUUUUCGAACUGUGAGUGUGCAGUGGUGAAGGAUAUUGCGACUACUCUGUAGUUUGGUGCCACUGCCUUGGUGCUAAGGCACCAGUGGUUUUACCCACUGGUAUUACCCACUAGUGCUUUUGAACUGUGGAAAUAUAAACAGCAGAUAAGGAAAAUAAAGAACAUAUGUGUAUAAGAAUACACAUAGUUUUGACUUCUCAGAUUAACACUCAACUCAAAUUCUGCAGAUACCACUUUGGCAAACAAUGCUAAAAUGAACUACAGCAUGAAUGAGCUUAUUAUAAUCAAGGAGAAGAGGAAAAUACUACAUACCAGAAAGUAAUAAAUGGUGUAAAAAUCCAAAGCACUGUGGGAAUUCAGAUUCACGUGAAAUUAUUUUCUUUGUAGGGUCCCAGGAAAACCCUCCUUAGAGGAGUUAAUGUUUAGCAAAUUUGGAGAUGUAAAGACUGAUUCUCUACCCACAGAAUUCAGAGGAGCAAAUAUGUGCAAAUGAGAAAGUGAAUAGUUUGUGAACUGAAAGGCAGAGGUAUCAUUGUAACUGGCAUUGUGCUUGCUCAACUUUUGACGGGGUCAACUCAAACCAGUAAUGCCAAUGGCCAAUUUUAGUUUCUGUUCUUUCUCCCAUUUCUUUAGGGAUCAAAGUUAUUUUUAGAGUUGAGCUCAAAACUACUAAAGUCAUCCAUUUAGGAAACAGCUAGUUAUGUUUAGCCUUCAUUUUUGAGAUGUAAAAUAUGGAAAUCUAAGCAAAAAUGUAUACAAUAGUGAUAAAUGGGUAUAUUACCCUUAAAAAAGUAAUUUGUAUUUAGUUGAAGAAUCGCAGUCUGGACUUAGGUAGGGGGCGGGGCAAGAUGGCAGAGGAGUAGGGCCCCCAAGUCACCUGUCCCCACCAAUUUACCUAGAUAACUUUUUUUUUUUUCCCUAGGUAACUUUCAGAUCAUCCUGAAAGCCUACAAAUUCAACCUGAGAUUUAAAGAGAGAGCAGCUGGAAUGUUACAGAGAGAAGGGUUUUCACUUCUAACAAGGUAGGAAGGCAGAAAAUAAAUAAAUAAAUAAAUAAAUAAAUAAAUAAAUAAAUAAUAAAUAAAUAUCCAGUGGGGGAGGGGCCCCCUGAGGAGCCAGGCUAAGGCCGGGCAGCAGGAGCCUCAGGGACAGGAAAGCCCAGCCCUGGAGAAGCAGGAACUUUAAAAAUCCGCACCAGAUUAUUCCCAGAGGAAAAGGUGCUCAGCCGGGAACUCGGGGAGAACCCCAGAAGGGGCAGUGGAGCCUCCAGAUACCCUGGGUCACUAACAGAGGAAGUGCACCUGGGGGAUAGUGCCCCACAAACUGGGCGGAGCUGGGUAAAGGGCUGAAGUGCGCCGCCGGGCCUCGGGAGCAGCUCGGGUGGUGGAUGCGGCUGGAGGCGGCUGCGUCCUGCUGCCUUCGGGAGCCCCGGCCCCGGGAGCGUGAUUCCAGCAGCACAGACCUGGGAUCCUAGGGUGCCAGGGGGACACAGCUGCAGAUCCUGCGCUCCCCUCUCCAUUCCCCCAGAGGCGGAGGCAGGGACGGCACAGGACAGCGAGGACUCUCCUGCUGCGGGAGCCCGCAAGCUAUGCAGAUCAGCAACUCCCUCCCCCAGAACAUCCAAGCCAGAGCGGACUGGGAGACUGUGGUAGUUACUGCAGGAGCUGACUCCAGAGCUGGAGAGCUGGCCGCUGCCAGUGGUGUUGUUCCUCCUGGUGUCACCCUGUGCCUGGGAGGGGCCCGGCCACCAGGGAACAGAGGCCUCAGGGGAUAAACAGGUCUCACUGAGCCCAGUACCCGGAGGGGGGUGGGGCAGCUCCCCCAGGUGCACAACCUGAGAACCAGCACAGCAGGCCCCUCCCUCAGAAGACCAGCUGGGGGAUCCCUGGGUGGCGCAGCGGUUUAGCGCCUGCCUUUGGCCUAGGGCGUGAUCCUGGAGACCCGGAAUCGAGUCCCACGUCGGGCUCCCGGUGCGUAGAGCCUGCUUCUCCCUCUGCUUGUGUCUCUGCCUCUCUCUCUCUCUGUGUGACUAUCAUAAAUAAAUAAAAAUUAAAAAAAAAAAAAAAA